rnacentral:rRNA from 1 species
AUACGUAGGGAGCGAGCGUUGUCCGGAUUUAUUGGGUGUAAAGGGUGCGUAGGCGGCUAUGUAAGUCAGACGUGUAAUGCAGAGGCUUAACCUCUGAACUGCGUUUGAAACUGUGUAGCUUGAGUGGAGUAGAGGCAGAUGGAAUUUCCAGUGUAGCGGUGAAAUGCGUAGAUAUUGGAAGGAACACCAGUGGCGAAGGCGAUCUGCUGGGCUCUAACUGGAUCGGAGGCACGAAAGCAUGGGGAGCAAACAGGAUUAGAUACCCUGGUAGUCCAUGCCGUAAACGAUGAUUACUAGGUGUGGGGGGACUGACCCCUUCCGUGCCGGAGUUAACACAAUAAGUAAUCCGCCUGGGAAGUACGAUCGCAAGGUUGAAACUCAAAUGAAUUGACGGGU